UACGUAGGUGGCAAGCGUUGUCCGGAAUUAUUGGGCGUAAAGCGCGUGUAGGCGGCCCGAUAAGUCCGCUGUGAAAGUCCAGGGCUCAACCCUGGGAUGCCGGUGGAUACUGUCGGGCUCGAGUCCGGAAGAGGCGAGUGGAAUUCCUGGUGUAGCGGUGAAAUGCGCAGAUAUCAGGAGGAACACCAAUGGCGAAGGCAGCUCGCUGGGACGUGACUGACGCUGAGACGCGAAAGCGUGGGGAGCAAACGGG
rnacentral:rRNA from 1 species